rnacentral:rRNA from 1 species
AUGAUCUAUGCUAUCGCGGCAACACAGGCCAAUACACAUUCAGGAAAUAUGUCACCAACUUCCCCAAGGCCCCGCAUCGUCUACUCAGGAUAUUUUGUGCCCCAAGCCCUACAGAAUAAUGCCCAGUCUAAUUUCAGGAGUGGGCAUGACAGCCUCAAACUUCUCUCUUCAAUAUUGAAGAAGCGACUUACUCAGAUCAAUGGGCAUGCAUUUAGAAAAAUAGCUAAAGAGUACGAGAUAUUCCUAGAGUAA